rnacentral:lncRNA from 1 species
UGAGCUCCAUCAACCUGAAAACACAGGCACACAGCUUUGUCCCUUUACGUUUUUGCACAACCUCUGCGAAUCAGGCAGUAUUUGUACCUUCUGGAUAAGGGAAGCCAAGCAGGACAUUUCAGGAGCGGGGAAGCUCCGAGGACCAUUUGGCACCGGUUGGAGUAGCCAAGUAGGUUGUGCCAGGCAGCCAGGCCUGAGAUUCGAGGCCGAAUGCAGUGGGAGCUCAGCUCAGGUCCGGGAGCGACGGCGCACGCAGCAGCUCAGGGGCUGCCUCUGGCACGGCCGGCUUUGAACUCUGUCUGAAGUGAGCUGUGCUUUGGCCCCCGACAUAAAUUAGAGCAACCUGGAGACUGUUAUAAAUUACAAAAGUGCUCUAGCCCCAGAGGCAGGCACACAUCUGGCCACACUCCCAUCAGGGGAGCGGUGUUGGAGGUAUUAGUUUGACUCUGUCUCACAGUUGGACUUCCCUUUACUGGGGUGAUCUUCUCAGGGCUGCUUAUUCCAGGAUUAGGGCUGUUCUGCUAUCCGAGCUGUGAAGUCAUUUCCAUCGUUGCUUUUCUGGGAAUUUUUUAGAGUAACGAGCUGAAGUGUCUUCAGCCCGUGUGCCUGCCUUCGUCCCCGGCACUGUGCCACCACCCUGGCUGAGGGAGGAUCAGCCCUCGCAUCCGGAGCCCUGGAGGAGAACCUGCCACAACACUGCUUCCUUUUCUGCCGUGCAGUGUGGAUCAAACACGACCAAACCGCGUUGGGUUACGGUCCAGGGUGCCUGGUGGGAGUUGGGUACGAGAUGCUCCUGUUCCUCUCCGUGGGCUGCGUUCGGGGGUGAGCCACGUCUCCGGUGCUGCAACGUCUGCUCUCGUCGCUAGGAGGGAAGGCAGCGCACCCUGGCAGUCCCAUGCCGGCAAGGUGGCUGGGAAGAUGAAUUUUCUGUGUGCAGAGAAGCACAGGGCCUGGAGGCAUCUUCCUGCCUGGGCAGACACUCCAUGUUUUGCUGGCCGACCGAUCCUCUCCAUCCCCCACUUUUUUCAUUUUCCGGAAUUGAGGUUUUUGGAUUAA